rnacentral:tRNA from 1 species
GGGGUGUGUAGCUCAGUGGUAGAGCAUUCGGCUGAAAAUCGAAAGGUCUCCGGUUCGAAUCCGGGUGUCCCCU